ensembl:snoRNA
AUCCUUUUGUGGUUCACCAGUGUGAAGACUUGGCUCGCAUACCUUUGUGUGAGAUGUGUGUUCCUCCCACCUUCUAUGACCUCCACACUGUACAUCCAUUUGAUG